AACCUAGCACACCUGCGGUGUGUACCUGCGGAAGGAUCAUUACCGAGUUUACAACUCCCAAACCCCUGUGAACAUACCAAUUGUUGCCUCGGCGGAUCAGCCCGCUCCCGGUAAAACGGGACGGCCCGCCAGAGGACCCCUAAACUCUGUUUCUAUAUGUAACUUCUGAGUAAAACCAUAAAUAAAUCAAAACUUUCAGCAAUGGAUCU
rnacentral:misc_RNA from 1 species